UACGUAGGGUGCAAGCGUUGUUCGGAAUUACUGGGCGUAAAGCGCGCGUAGGCGGGCUUGAAAGUUGAUUGUGAAAGCCCUGGGCUUAACCCGGGAAUGGCAGUCAAAACUACAAGUCUUGAGUGCCUGAGAGGAUGGCGGAAUUCCCGGUGUAGUAGUGAAAUACGUAGAUAUCGGGAAGAACACCUGAGGCGAAGGCGGCUAUCUGGCGGUGCACUGACGCUGAGGCGACGAAAGCGUGGGGAGCAAACAGG
rnacentral:rRNA from 1 species